rnacentral:rRNA from 1 species
UAAUACGUAGGGGGCAAGCGUUGUCCGGAUUUAUUGGGCGUAAAGAGCGUGUAGGCGGCCAGAUAGGUCGGUUGUGAAAACUGGAGGCUUAACCUUCAGACGUCGAUCGAAACCAUCUGGCUAGAGUCCGGAAGAGGAGAAUGGAAUUCCUGGUGUAGCGGUGAAAUGCGCAGAUAUCAGGAAGAACACCCGUGGCGAAGGCGGUUCUCUGGGACGGUACUGACGCUGAGACGCGAAAGCGUGGGGAGCGAACAGGAUUAGAUACCCUGGUAGUCCACGCCGUAAACGAUGGGUGCUAGGUGUGGGGGGUGUCGACUCCCUCCGUGCCGAAGCUAACGCAUUAAGCACCCCGCCUGGGGAGUACGGCCGCAAGGCUA